UUUGCGUGCUGAUGUCAUCACAAAGCUGUGUGCAUCCUUGCUUUGGUGAGCUUCCAGCGCGGCCAGAUGAGUUCGCACGUUCAGCCCCUGCGGAUCCUGGAUUUGGUUUUAUUUCCUCCAUCCCGAUGGACCAUAAGCUUUGACGGAUGCCUCGGGGAGAAGGAGGGCAGGGCAGGGACCGAUGUGCCAAAUGACGGAUGGUGCGGUCUGCUGCAAGCCAGUUCCUGGCAAACGGUGAAAGCGGUGCAUUGGCUGCUGCUGUGAGCCCCCCCUGGAGCAGCCUGGUGGCAUGGGGAUGAGCACUGAUGUGCUGCUUGGAGCAUCGAAUCGACGUGUGCUUGUGAGGCUUCAGUCUGUUUCAUGAUCUUACAAAUAAGACCUG
rnacentral:lncRNA from 1 species